rnacentral:rRNA from 1 species
CAGUCGCCGCGGUAACACGUAGGUGGCAAGCGUUGUCCGGAAUUAUUGGGCGUAAAGGGCUCGCAGGCGGUUUCUUAAGUCUGAUGUGAAAGCCCCCGGCUCAACCGGGGAGGGUCAUUGGAAACUGGGAAACUUGAGUGCAGAAGAGGAGAGUGGAAUUCCACGUGUAGCGGUGAAAUGCGUAGAGAUGUGGAGGAACACCAGUGGCGAAGGCGACUCUCUGGUCUGUAACUGACGCUGAGGAGCGAAAGCGUGGGGAGCGAACAGGAUUAGAUACCCCUGUAGUCCUUGUCUCUUAUAC